AUUAAAUUCGUAAUUAAAACUUCUAGAAAAUAAGGAAAGUAUAUUGAUAAAGUGAAAUAUGUCCAUUUAUAAUAAUUUCAUUGGAAUAUUUUUACUUUUCUUUUUUUAUUCCUUUUUUAAUUAACAUAAACGGUUGUUCGUUAAAAGUCUGGAUUUAGAAAUUAUUUACAAGUUUUAAGUUGAGAAUGAGAAUCUAAUUAUUUCUGAAUUAACUUUAAUUAACUUUCGAUGUCCUUUAAUUAUAUUCGUGUUUCAGAUGUCUUUGAGAGAUCUUAGAGCAUUGUAGACAACUAUGAAGGUGUGGAGGAAGGUUUCGUGUGCUUUUUAACGGCAGUGCAAACGUAACAGACUUCAUGACAAUCAGUUUCUCUAACCUGGAUGGCGUAUUGGGGUCCAUGAGAUUGACUGUGAUGAUGAUGCCUCUGGUAAUGAGGCUGCUGAUGAUGUGGAUCAUGCUGAUAAAUAUCUUGAUGAUAUUGAGACGGAAUAGACUUUAAAAUAUGAUUUUGCCUCUUCUCCGAAACAUAUUGCUGAGCAGCUCUUUCCAUUGUUUCCACUGUUAAUCUCGGGUCUUCAAUCAUUGCGUUCGAAGCUUUCGUGCUAAAAUGAAAAAUGAUUAACGCGACUAUUGAUGAAACCAAAAACAAAAUUGGAAAAUAUGAAAAAUAACGACCAGUGGAAAAAUGUAACAACAAGAAAAAUUGAAUUUUUUAUUUUACAAAUGGAAAUUCAAAGGAAAAAGUGAAAUAUUGAAUUCGAGAUCUAA